CCUCCCCCGGUCGGAUCGGCCCGAGCCUCCCGCACCGACGCCGCCGCCCUUUGCCGCCGCCGCCGCCGUUGGCCGUCGGCGUUCGCCUCCUCCGGGCCAGCUCUACCCAGAUCUGGGCCGCCGCAGCGCCACCCCCUCCGGCCCCGGCCCUUUCCUCGCCCUGUGGCCGCCGGUCCCGCUCGACGAUCUCCUCUUCUUCCACCCGGUCCCGCCUGCCGCCGCCGCCACGUCGGCCAGCCCAGACCAGCUCUGCGGCACCAGGGACUUGCUGCUGCUCAAGCGCUCCUACUCCUUCGGCUUCGAGCGCAGCCUCGCCAUGGAGGCCGCGUCCACGGCCUCCCCUCCCUGGCGCUACCGCGUCUCCUCCGGCGCGCGGCGGCGGCGGUGAUGGAGCCACCUCCCGCGGCCGCAGCUUCUGGAGCAAGCGCUGGCCAUCCCCGUUCGACGGGGGCAGGGGCUCCGCGGCCGCCGUCCGCGUCUUCUCCUUCCGCUCCUACUGCUCCGCGGCGGGCAAGUCAACCCCCUCCUGCCGCCGCGGCCACGGCGGGGCCGGGAGCGGGUUCUUCAUGGCGCUGGCGUCGGAGAUGCCCUCGAUCCUGGCCGCGGCGAGGCGGGGCCGCGCGGCCGCCGUGUCCAGCCGGCUCCGGUGUGAGGACCCCGGGGCGCUGUUUUCCUGUUUUAUUUGUGGUCAGAGUUUUUUUAUUAGAUCUGAAAUUAAAAAAAAUGGACCGGCGGUGACCUCAGAACUCCAACUGUUUUAAAACCUCCCAAGAGUACACAGGUUGAUAUAAGGGCAUACAGGUUAAAAACUUUCCAGUGCAACAUUUCCUCUGCAUAUGGGUAAAAUUUGUCUUUUCCCAUCUCCGUUAGCCACCGUUAGUGCUAAUUCUGUCCAAAAAGAUACAGAGGUAAAGAUAAGUUGACGGUAAGACAUACAGGUGCGACUGAAAAAAAAUAGAGGUAUAGGUGGGAAGGCAAGCGGGCUACCACCAGAUGUACCUGCCAGCAGAGGCUACCAGAUCCGAUUCAAAUAUAACGAGUGACUUGCGCCAAGGCGCGCGUAA